CCUGUACCAAUGAGUUACUGUAGACAAGUUGUAAGUUCAAGAAUGUGUCAGUACUGAAUCAGCCAUUUUGGUAGUGGAGGGGGGCUCCGAGUGCGCCUUGUGAAGGCCGCCCUCAGUCUCCUCCCUGCGAGGAGACGCCCGGCCGUUUUUGUCGACAUCAGGGUACCAGGAUAAGCCGCAUCCUUCAACAGUCAGUAGGGAUUGGGUAGAACAGUGGAUGGAGUGAUUACGGCAUCUGCCUCACAGUUGAGUCAAACCCAGAGAGUCAAGGUAUGAAUCUUGGCUUGGGCCCUUGUGUGGAGUUUGUGUUCUCUUCCUAUAGUUACAUGGAUUUUCAAUAGGUACUUUGGCUUCCACCCAUAUUUCUUAAACAUCCAUCCAUCCAUCCAUCCAUUUUCUGAGCUGCAUAUCCUCACGAGGGUCGCAGGAGGGCUGUCAUUGGGCAGGAGGCACGGUACACCCUGAACUGUUGCUGAUGUUAGUUGCUAUAAUCUUUAUUACUAACAGUGUUGUUUUUCUGCCAAUAACAACUGAAACAAUACUCUUAGCUUCUUGCUAUAAUUACUAAAAUUUGUUGGAAAAUGCUUAUUUGUAAUUCAUAAAGCGUUACUAUUAUGCUUUUAUGAAAGAUAAAGGUCCAAUUAUGAGCUAACUGCAUAUUUGUACC